GCAUAUCAAUAAGCGGAGGAAAAGAAAAUAACAAUGAUUCCCUCAGUAACGGCGAGCGAAGAGGGAUAAGCUCAAAUUUUAAAUCUGUUGGGUUCCACUUUACAGAGUUGUAUUUUGAAGAAACGUUUUCUGCUGUCCAGGAUUAGCCUAAAUCCUUUGGGAUAAGGUAUCAUGGAGGGUGAGAAUCCCGUUCAUGGUUAAUCUUAAGGAAGCUCUACGAUACGUUUUCCAAGAGUCGAGUUGUUUGGGAUUGCAGCUCAAAAUGGGAGGUAAAUUUCUCCUAAAGCUAAAUAUUGGCGAGAGACCGAUAGCAAACAAGUACCGUGAGGGAAAGAUGAAAAGAACUUUGAAGAGAGAGUUAAAUAGUACGUGAAAUUGUUGGAAAGGAAACGAUUAAAGUCAGUCAUACCAACGGGAAAUCAACCUUUUGAGCUUGGUCUCGUGGGUUUGAAGAGUUCCAAAGCAUUCGGAUUCGCGGGAUUGGGAUCUCUUGGCGUACUUUUUCGUACGGUUAGUCAACAUCGGUUCUGAAUGUCAUAAAAUGACUGGAGGAAUGUAGCUUCGAUCUCGUAUUGAAGUGUUAUAGCCUUUGGUAGAUGUGAUGUUUGAGACCGAGGAUUGCAACGGAUACCCUUCAGGGCUAUUCGUCUGAUCUCUGAUACGUUGCCUUGAUGUUGAAAGCUUGCUUAUGAUGCUAGGGUAUUACGGUCAAAAGGUUAGAACGAAUUACAUUCGUUAAGGAUGUUGACGUAAUGGCUUUAAACGAC
rnacentral:rRNA from 1 species